rnacentral:lncRNA from 1 species
GAUAACUUUAUGUCAAAAUGAUAUUGAACUAUUAAUCAAAUUCAGAUCUGAUUUUUGCACAUCAGAUUUGAAAUCUGAAUUGAUUUCAUGUUCAUAUCAGAAUCUGGCUCUGAUACCACUGUUGCAUUUCAGGUGGUUUCAUACAUGUAUUUUAAAAUUUUAAAUUUUCUAAUCUAGUCACAGCAAAAAUUAAAUUCAGAUUAAAAUUAUUUUAAUCUAAUAUGCAUCAGAUCUAAUCUGCUAAACCAUCUAGGAUCUAACAUAUGAACAUGAAACUAUUCAAUCUAAAAUCUGAUUAAGAAAAAUAUAUAAAUCGGAGAUCCAAUCUUCAUACCUUUGUGGAUCA